rnacentral:rRNA from 1 species
GUCCUACGGGGCGCAGCAGUGAGGAAUAUUGGUCAAUGGCCGAGAGGCUGAACCAGCCAAGUCGCGUGAGGGAUGACGGCCCUACGGGUUGUAAACCUCUUUUGCCGAGGAGCAAAGAGCGGGACGCGUCCCGCCUCGAGAGUACCCGGAGAAAAAGCAUCGGCUAACUCCGUGCCAGCAGCCGCGGUAAUACGGAGGAUGCGAGCGUUAUCCGGAUUUAUUGGGUUUAAAGGGUGCGCAGGCGGAAUGUCAAGUCAGCGGUAAAAUUUCGGGGCUCAACCCCGUCGUGCCGUUGAAACUGGCGU